CACGUAGGGGGCAAGCGUUGUCCGGAUUUAUUGGGCGUAAAGAGCUCGUAGGUGGCUGAGUAAGUCGGAUGUUAAAUCCCCAGGCUCAACCUGGGACACCACCCGAUACUGCUCUGGCUAGAGUCCGGUAGGGGAGCGUGGAAUUCCUGGUGUAGCGGUGAAAAUGCGCAGAUAUCAGGAGGAACACCAAUAGCGAAGGCAGCUCGCUGGGACGUUACUGACACUGAGGCGCGAAAGCGUGGGGAGCGAACAGG
rnacentral:rRNA from 1 species